rnacentral:rRNA from 1 species
UACGUAGGGGGCAAGCGUUGUCCGGAUUUAUUGGGCGUAAAGAGCUCGUAGGUGGUUCGGUAAGUCGGAUGUGAAAUCUCCAGGCUCAACCUGGAGGGGUCAUUCGAUACUGCCGUGACUAGAGGUCGGUAGGGGAGUGUGGAAUUCCUGGUGGAGCGGUGAAAUGCGCGAUAUCAGGAGGAACAGCCCUAGCGAAGGCGGCACUCUGGGCCGAUACUGACACUGAGGAGCGAAAGCGUGGGGAGCGAACGG